UGGAAUGUAUGCACAACAACCGGUCAUUUUCAACAACGAAGAUUAAAUGUGCAGCCUUACCGAAUAUUAGAGCGUGUUUCGGCACAAGUCGCCCACCCAACGCGUCUGGUUGCAAUGUUCCUUUGCGUUUUGGCGCAUCACAAUAAAAAUAGCAUGCGGGCUUCAAUUUCCGUCACUCAUUGCAAACGAACCCGUAAACGAUGGUUGUUCAUGGAGAUCUGCUGCUACCGAGAGGGUUACAUCGCGGGCUCGGGAAGUACAUGUUGAUUGCCUACUCCAUAUCCAAGUCGUCUUCACGUUUAUGGCUGAUGUAAUAUUUGUAUUUGGAAUUGUAAU